UGUUGAUUGACACUAGCGUUUCAGCAUUGGCCCACCCUGAGAGAGCUAUAGACAGUCCGCCUUUGUUUCACUGCCAGAGCAGGUGUGGGCAAAAAUGUCUCAUAAGCGAUUGAGGUGCUUUGUUGUUAAAUGUAAUAAUGAAAAUAGAAGUCGUGAUUUACUCCAGACAUCUGAGUCGCUGAAAAUGCAGUGGAUUAUCUUUGUUUUUGAAGGGAAUGCGCCCUAAUCUACUUAAAUGUGUCUAUGUUCAUGGGAAUCUUUUGUGAUCCAGCCUCACCUACAGAAGAAGUAGACCUCCCCCUCCUUCUCACAUUGUUGGAGGCCAACCAGCCUACAUGGUCCACUGGAUUGCCGUCAAGUGUGAAGAUCACUUCAGUAUAUUGUGGACUGACUACCUGCAAGGGACAUCUUAGACCCAAAAUUGAUAAGGGACUUCCACACUCAUAAACCCAAUCGUCCUGGGAGAAACGUCGGGAGCCAUUCUUAGAGAGGGGGUCCUGUCAGUAUUUUGGCUUGUAUUGUGUUUUGGCCUCUAGAGGUCCUCUUGGUGCUCUCUUGUUCAGCUUACUCUACUUGUAAUAAGUGUUAUUAUGUUCACAAGUGUCUCAUUUAGCUGUGUGUAUUUAAGUGGUAUUGUCUCCCAGUUCCUUUGCAUGGUGUUUUGUUCUACUAAGACAGCUGCCAGAGCAAGUGCUUGGUAGGUCUGAGAAAUUAUAAUAUCUUAUGAUUGUUACCUCUCUGAAUUUUGUGGAUUUCCUUUGGAUUGAUUUAGCUUUAAGAACUUUGAAUUUUUGGAAUAUUUUGGUGGGCUUCUAUCUUUGGACUGUAUUUGUUAUUUAAGAAUUGAUUUUUCUGUUUUUUGCUCUUUCUGUGAUUUUUUUUUUUUUUUUACUUUCGUUAAACCUACUGCAUCUCAACUUCUUCUAAGUGUGUCUAACUACUGGGUUCACCAUCCUCCAGUGGCUCAAGGAUUGAUUAUCUGACUCAUGUCAGAUACCUGAGUUUGAGCCCCGGCUCUGAGAACAGGAAUAUGUGUGGAAAAUAGAAAACUAAUUGUAGCCUAGAGAGAACUUUAAAUUAGAACUGCCUGCAUUGAGAAAUGUGUACUUUUUUUGGUUUUAAGGCCAUGACCACCAAGCCCACAGUCAGCCAUCAGUCAUCUUUGGGUCAUUGUUGAACAUCUGUCAGCUCAGUUUUUGUGGUAACUUCUGCACUGUCUGUGCUAGGGGUGCAAUGGUUCUCAGUAAAAGACCGAACCGUACUGUUUUCCACUCUCGGUCGGUACACAUUUGUACCACAAUUAAUCUCAGUUAUAAAAAAGGAUGUGGAUUAUCUGUUAUAGCGAAAAAACAAAGUUUCAAAUACACAUCUAAAUGUGUUCCUGUGGACCAUUCCACCUCUGACCAGCUGACACUUAUUUUGUACUUUUUUUCUAUUUAUUAUCUAUAAUUAUCUUUUUUUCUAGUAAUUAAAGAACUGAAGGC
ensembl:lncRNA